AUCACUCUACCAACAACUGGACGCUGCUGGGGCAGCUGCGACUGCUGCUGGGGUGACUGCAAGGGAUGCAGAGGCGGCUGCUUAGCUUGAACCGGAGGUGGUGACUGCAAGGGAUGCAGAGGCGGCUGCUUAGCUUGAACCGGAGGUGGUGCCUGUAACAGAGGUAGUAUUGGAGCUGGAGUCGCAGCUGGCGGCAGGAUCACAGGAUCAACGGGCUCAGGUCUCACAGCACUCUCAACCACAGG
rnacentral:lncRNA from 1 species